rnacentral:rRNA from 1 species
AGAGAGAGACAUGCGCGCAUAUCAAUAAGCGGAGGAAAAGAAACUAACAAGGAUUCCCUUAGUAACGGCGAGUGAAGCGGGAAGAGCUCAAAUUUGAAAUCUUCAAGGUUCUACCUUGACGAAUUGUAGUUUAAAGAAGUGUUUUCUGUUGAAGUUUUGGUAAAAGUUCUUUGGAAUAGGACAUCAUAGAGGGUGAGAAUCCCGUAUUUGACCAUUAUUUUCAGCUUUGUGAUACACUUUCAAAGAGUCGGAUUGUUUGGGAAUGCAGUCCAAAAUGGGUGGUAAAUUUCAUCUAAAGCUAAAUAUUGGCGAGAGACCGAUAGCGAACAAGUACCGUGAGGGAAAGAUGAAAAGAACUUUGAAAAGAGAGUUAAACAGUACGUGAAAUUGUCAAAAGGGAAGCGUUUGACACCAGUGUUGUUUUCUCGAAAAUCAAUUAAAAAUGGCUCGAUUUUGUAUUGCUUGAGACCUUAAAAGCUCACUGUACAUUUUUCGUGUCUUUUUUAAUGCACUUUUCGUUUAACAAGUCAACAUCAGUUUCUUUUGUUGUAAAAGGGUCAUUGGAAGGUGGCUUUCUUUUCGGAGAAAGUGUUUAUAGCCUUUGGCCUCUGCAAUCGGAGAGACUGAGGUCUGCAGCGUAGACUCUUCGGGGUUAGAUACAUUUGUGCUAAGUUAUAGCUUUUUAUAGACAACUUGUUGACUAUAAUUAGUCUUGUAGCUUACUCGCUUAUGCUAUUUUACCUACGCUUAGGAUGUUGAGUCGUAGAGCACGCAG